rnacentral:misc_RNA from 1 species
AUUAGUAGAACUUUUCGUCUUCAUGAUCACUGAGAGCAAGGAUAGUAACACAAUGUGUGUGUUUACGCACUAGGAGGAAACAAAAAAUGGAAAAUGGUAAAGUGAAAUGGUUUAACAGCGAAAAAGGUUUCGGAUUCAUCGAACGUGAAGGUGGAGAAGACGUAUUUGUUCAUUUCUCAGCUAUUCAAGGCGAGGGUUUCAAAACUUUAGAAGAAGGUCAAGCUGUGACUUUCGAUGUUGAACAAGGUCAACGUGGAGCUCAAGCAGCUAACGUGCGUAGAGCUUAAUAAGAAAAACAACUCAAGCAGGCUCUUUAUAGAGUCUGUUUUUUU